CUACGGGCGACUGCAGUGAGGAAUAUUGCACAAUGGGGGGAACCCUGAUGCAGCAACGCCGCGUGGAGGAUGACGCAUUUCGGUGUGUAAACUCCUUUUAUAUGUCAAGAAAAUGACGGUAGCAUAUGAAUAAGCACCGGCUAACUCCGUGCCAGCAGCCGCGGUAAUACGGAGGGUGCAAGCGUUACUCGGAAUCACUGGGCGUAAAGGACGCGUAGGCGGGUUGGAAAGUCAGGUGUGAAAUCCUACAGCUUAACUGUGGAACUGCACUUGAAACUUCUAAUCUAGAGUAUGGGAGGGGGAGAUGGAAUUAGUGGUGUAGGGGUAAAAUCCGUAGAUAUCACUAGGAAUACCUAAAGCGAAGGCGAUCUCCUGGAACAUUACUGACGCUAAGGCGUGAAAGCGUGGGGAGCAAACAGGAUUAGAUACCCCAGUAGUC
rnacentral:rRNA from 1 species